rnacentral:rRNA from 1 species
UGGGGAAUAUUGGACAAUGGACCAAGAGUCUGAUCCAGCAAUUCUGCGUGCACGAUGAAGUUUUUCGGAAUGUAAAGUGCUUUCAGUUGGGAAGAAAAAAAUGACGGUACCAACAGAAGAAGUGACGGCUAAAUACGUGCCAGCAGCCGCGGUAAUACGUAUGUCACGAGCGUUAUCCGGAUUUAUUGGGCGUAAAGCGCGUCUAGGUGGUUAUGUAAGUCUGAUGUGAAAAUGCAGGGCUCAACUCUGUAUUGCGUUGGAAACUGUAUGACUAGAGUACUGGAGAGGUAAGCGGAACUACAAGUGUAGAGGUGAAAUUCGUAGAUAUUUGUAGGAAUGCCGAUGGGGAAGCCAGCUUACUGGACAGAUACUGACGCUGAAGUGCGAAAGCGUGGGUAGCAAACAGGAUUAGAUACCCUGGUAGUCCAUGCCGUAAACGAUGAUUACUAGGUGUUGGGGGUCGAACCUCAGCGCCCAAGCAAACGCGAUAAGUAAUCCGCCUGGGGAGUACGUACGCAAGUAUG